AACGCGAAGAACCUUACCAGCUCUUGACAUCUGGGUGAAAGCAUUAGAGAUAGUGCCCCUCUUCGGAGCACCCAAGACAGGUGGUGCAUGGUUGUCGUCAGCUCGUGUCGUGAGAUGUUGGGUUAAGUCCCGCAACGAGCGCAACCCUUGAUCUUAGUUGCCAGCAGGUUAAGCUGGGCACUCUAAGGUGACUGCCGGUGACAAACCGGAGGAAGGUGGGGAUGACGUCAAAUCAUCAUGCCCCUUAUGAGCUGGGCUACACACGUACUACAAUGGCCGGUACAACGGGCAGCGAUACCGCGAGGUGGAGCGAAUCCUUAAAAGCCGGUCUCAGUUCGGAUUGUAGGCUGCAACUCGCCUGCAUGAAGUCGGAAUUGCUAGUAAUCGCGGAUCAGCAUGCCGCGGUGAAUACGUUCCCGGCCUUGUACACACCGACGCGUA
rnacentral:rRNA from 1 species